GACGAACGCUGGCGGCGUGCUUAACACAUGCAAGUCGAACGGAAAGGCCCUGCUUUUGUGGGGUUCUCGAGUGGCGAACGGGUGAGUAACACGUGAGUAACCUGCCCUUGACUUUGGGAUAACUUCAGGAAACUGGGGCUAAUACCGGAUAGGAGCUCCUGCUGCAUGGUGGGGGUUGGAAAGUUUCGGCGGUUGGGGAUGGACUCGCGGCUUAUCAGCUUGUUGGUGGAGUAGUAGCUUACCAAGGCUUUGACGGGUAGCCGGCCUGAGAGGGUGACCGGCCACAUUGGGACUGAGAUACGGCCCAGACUCCUACGGGAGGCAGCAGUGGGGAAUAUUGCACAAUGGGCGGAAGCCUGAUGCAGCAACGCCGCGUGCGGGAUGACGGCCUUCGGGUUGUAAACCGCUUUCGCCUGUGACGAAGCGUGAGUGACGGUAAUGGGUAAAGAAGCACCGGCUAACUACGUG
rnacentral:rRNA from 1 species